rnacentral:misc_RNA from 1 species
GUGACUGGUGAGGGUCUCAUGCGCCCGUGCUUUAAGGCAGUUGCAGGGGGCUUGUACUCUGGUGGUAGCGCACAAAUGGUUGAGAAUUCUUUAAACAUUCAUGGUGAUGAGAUAUUGUAUGUAGGUGAUCAUAUUUAUACCGAUGUAAGCCAAUCUAAAGUACACUUGCGCUGGAGAACAGCAUUAAUUCUACGAGAAUUGGAAGAAGAGUAUAGUGCUUUGAUUCAUAGUCGUGGUCAUCGUGGAUCUCUCAUUGAGCUUAUAAAUCAAAAGGAAGUUGUGGGGGAUCUCUUCAAUCAACUUCGGCUUGCUUUGCAAAGGCGUAGUCAAGGUCGUCCUGCUCAAACCCUUGCAGCGACUAACAUGGAUGAUGAGGAACUCACUGAAAGCAUGCAAAAGCUGCUCAUAGUCAUGCAAAGAUUAGACCAGAAAAUUGCUCCGAUGCUAGAAGCAGAUGGAGAGCUAUUCAACAAAAGGUGGGGUUUUCUUUCCCGUGCAGGCCUAUGGGAUAAAAGUCACCUUACAAGACAAAUUGAGAAGUAUGCAGACAUAUAUACUUCCCGGGUUUCAAAUUUCCUUCACUACACACCUUUCAUGUAUUUUUGUUCACAAGAGCAGACUCUUGCCCAUGAUUUGGAGUCUUGCUCGUCUCAAUAUAAAUGGGGUGACAGUUGAAUAUCUG